rnacentral:lncRNA from 1 species
UAUCAGCAGGUGAAAUAUGAGCAUCAAAGAGCGGCUAGCUUGCUUCAGCAGAUGGAUAUUCCUGAGUGGAAGUGGGAGCGGAUCACCAUGGACUUUGUAGUUGGGCUCCCAUGGAAUUUGAAGAAGUUCGAUGCUAUUUGGGUGAUUGUGGAUCGGCUGACCAAGUCCCGCACUUCAUUCCUGUGUGUACUACCUAUUCUUCAGAGCGAUUGGCAGAGAUCUUUAUUUUGGAGAUUGUUCGUUUGCAUGGUGUCCCAGUUUCCAUCAUUUCGGAUAGGUGCACUCAGUUUACUUAACAGUUUUGGAGGUCUGUGUAGCGAGAGUUGGGUACUCAGGUUGAGUUGAGCACAACUUUGCACCCUCAGACGGACGGGCAGUCCCAGCGCACUAUUCAGAUAUUGGAGGACAUGUUGCGCAUUUGUUUUAUUGAUUUUGCAGGGUCAUGGGAUCAGUUUCUACCGCUCGCAGAGUUUGCUUAUAACAAUAGUUAUUAGUCGAGUAUUCAGAUGGCUCCAUAUGAGGUUUUGUAUAGGAGGAGGUGUAGAUCUCCAGUGGGUUGGUUUGAGCCGGGUGAGGCUAGGCUAUUGGGUACAUACUUGGUGUAGGAUGCUUUAGACAAGGUAAAAGUGAUUCGAGAGAGGCUUUGUGCAGUGCAAUCAAGACAAAAGAGUUAUGCUGACAUGAAGGUUCGGGAUGUGUCCUACAUGGUUGGUGAGAAGGUUCUGUUGAAGGUUUUACCCAUGAAGGGUGUUAUGAGAUUUGGAAAGAAGGGUAAAUUGAGUCCUCAGUUCAUUGGGCCUUUUGAGGUGAUUCAGAGGAUUGGGGAGGUGGCUUAUGAGCUUGCUUUGCCACCCAGCUUAUCUGAGUAGAUAUCAUCACCUAUUUGAGGCUUCAGUUAUGUUUCUUGACUCGUUCAAGGACGAACUUUUGUUUAAGAGGGGGAGGAUGUAACGACCCGACCGGUCGUUUCAUGAGUUACCGCUUUAUUUCCCCCAUUUCUGCUUCUUAUUGUCUUGUUCAACUGUAUUAGGUGCUAUCGGGUUGAUUGGUUUGGCUUCGGAGAGGUUUUGGUAAGGUUUGAGACACAGUCUCUUUUGAGUAAGCUUAAGUUGGAAAAGUCAACUAGAUGUUGACUUAUGUGAAAAAUAGCUCGGAUGUGAAUUCUGAUGGUUCGAAUAGAUUCGAGAGAUGAUUUGGGACUUAGGAGUGUGAUCGGAAUGUGUUUUGGAGGUCCAGAAUAGAUUUAGGCUUGAAUUGGUGAAAUUGAAAUUUUGGUGUUUUCCGAUUGAUAGGUGAGAUUUUGAUAUAGAGUUCGAAAUGGAAUUUCGGGAGUUUCAGUAGUAUUUGGGAUGUGUGGGCAAAAUUUUAGGUCAUUCCGACGUGGUUUGACAGACUUUUUGAUCAAAAGCGGAAUUCAGAAGAUUUUUGGAACCUUAGGCUUGAAUUCGGUNNNNNNNNNNNNNNNNNNNNNNNNNNNNNNNNNNNNNNNNNNNNNNNNNNNNNNNNNNNNNNNNNNNNNNNNNNNNNNNNNNNNNNNNNNNNNNNNNNNNNNNNNNNNNNNNNNNNNNNNNNNNNNNNNNNNNNNNNNNNNNNNNNNNNNNNNNNNNNNNNNNNNNNNNNNNNNNNNNNNNNNNNNNNNNNNNNNNNNNNNNNNNNNNNNNNNNNNNNNNNNNNNNNNNNNNNNNNNNNNNNNNNNNNNNNNNNNNNNNNNNNNNNNNNNNNNNNNNNNNNNNNNNNNNNNNNNNNNNNNNNNNNNNNNNNNNNNNNNNNNNNNNNNNNNNNNNNNNNNNNNNNNNNNNNNNNNNNNNNNNNNNNNNNNNNNNNNNNNNNNNNNNNNNNNNNNNNNNNNNNNNNNNNNNNNNNNNNNNNNNNNNNNNNNNNNNNNNNNNNNNNNNNNNNNNNNNNNNNNNNNNNNNNNNNNNNNNNGGUCCGAAGUAGAUUUAGGCUUGAAUUGGCGAAAUUGGAAUUUUGGCGUUUUCCAGUUGAUAGGUGUGAUUUAGAUAUAGGGGUCGGAAUAGAAUUAUGGGAGUUUCAGUAGGUCCAUUGUAUCAUUUGGGAUAUGUGCGCAAAACUUUAGGUCAUUCGGACGUGGUUGGAUAGACCUUUUGAUCAAAAGCAGAAUUCGAAAUAUUUUUGGAACCUUAGGCUUGAAUCCGAUGUGAUUUGGUUGAUUCGAUAUUGUUUGAGGAGUUUUGAAGAUUGGUAUAAGUUUGGAUAGUGGUAUAUGACUUGUUUGUGCAUUUGGUUGAGGUCCCGGGGGCCUUAGGGUGAUUUCGGAUGGUUGUUGGAAGAUUUUGAGUUGGGUUUGGUAGUUGAAGCUUUUCUAUUGCUAUCAUAACCGCACUUGUGGCUAGGGGCCGCAGGUGCGGACUUGCAGAAGCGUAGAUGGAGCCGUAGAUGCAGCCAAGAGGAAGGUCAGCUGGAACUGCAGAAGUGGCUACUGGAGCACACCUGCGAUAGCACAGGUGCAAGCAUUUAAUCGCAGAUGCGGAAAUUGGACUUAAGUGAAAAACCGCAAAAGCGGUAGCGCAGAAGCGAGAAUAGAUCACAGGUGCGUAAAGCCUGGGUCAGAAAGUAUAUAUUUCAUCCUUUGCCAAUUUCAGCCUUUCUUCACCAUUUUUAAAUCGAUUUUGGAGCUUUUUGGGGGAUUUUGAACUUGAAAUUUAUGGAAAUUGGUGGGUAAAUAUUGAAGAAACUAGGGCCUAAGAUUGGAGACCUUUGAAUAAGGAUUUGAGGGGUCAUUUAUGGUCGGAUUUUUGUACUUUUGAUAUGGAUGAACUCGUGGGAAGAUAAGGAGUUUAUUGAUGUAAUUUUUAUCGGAUUUCAAGACGUGGACCCGGGGGUCGGGUUUGGUGUGUUGUAAUUUGAUUAUUUUCGAGUGGGCGUUGUUCCCUUAGCAUGUUUUGAUGAUUAUAUACUCAUUUUGGUUAGAUUUGGAGCAUCCAGAGGCCAAUUCAUGAGGCAAUGGCAUCUUGGGCUAGAGUUUGGACCGGAUAGAGGUGAGUAAUGAUUGUAAAUGCUAUCCUGAGGGUAUGAAACCCCGGAUUUUACAUUGUUGUGCUAUUUUAAGGUGACACACAUGCUAGAUGACAAGCGUGGGGUCAUGCACUGUUGGGGAUCGUGACUUAGUUCGUCCCGUAUAACUGUUUAACCACGUAUUUGAUUGAAAACUGUUUGUUAUCAUCAUGUUUUGGGCUGAAUGCUAUAUUUGGGCCUUGUGCCAACUGGUUUGGACCCUUAGGGGAUUUUUACUACUAUUCCUCAAUGUUUUGACUUUAUAUUUGUACUCAGUCGUGCUGUAUUCUACUAUUUUCAUAACCCAACCAUAUUUACUCUAUUUUGACAUCUUAAAUGAUAUUUUGGGUUGAACAUCAUAUUUUACUGUGCCCGAGUGGCUUUGUGUGAUUCUGACUGAGUAAGGUCGAGGGCCUGUGUUGUGAGAAUAUUAUGGGUUUGGGCUGCACGCUACAGUGGUAUUGUACUGAUUAAUGAUUAUGAGGCCGAGGGCCUGAGUUGUUUUGCCAUGAGGUGGCUUGAUAUGAGGCCGAGAGCCUGUUUGAUUAUGCCACGAGAUAACUUGUUAUUGUGCCUGGGCCGUAAGGGCUCCUCCUGGAGUCUGUACACCCCUAGUGAGCGCGGGUACCCAGUGUGACAUGUGAUAUAGCCCGAAGGGCUGAUGUUGUUCCAUGUUAUUGCCUGAGGGGCUGAUACGAGUGAUUGUAAGAUAGCCCGAUGGGCUGAUUUUGUUGGUAUUUUACCCGAUGGGCUGAUUUUAUGUGUCUAUAUUUUCUCACUGCUUUUCAUUCACUCGUUUAACUACUAAAAUAUGUUUCAAAGAGGUAUUUACUGCACUAAGGUGUUUCUACGAGUUUUUACUGAUUAUUGCCUUGUUCUGGUUUUACACUGCCUCUUUGUAGCAUUUUGCUGUAUUUUAUGUGUUUUCUUAUCGCUCAGCUACCUUUACUUUUAUUACUUACUGAGUUGGCAUACUCACAUUACUCCCUGUACCUUGUGUGCAGAUUCAGGAGCCUCGGGUCACGCUAACGAGGGCUGAUUGCUUCUAGCAGGCUGUUUGGAGUUCUCUAGGUAGCUGCUCGGCGUUCGUAGCCCAGUGCUUCUCCUUCCUAUCCUUACCUUCCUUUGUACUAGCUCUGUAAUAGACUAUGUAGUCCUUUUUCAUACUCUUAGACGGAUGUUUAAAUGCUCAUGACUGGUGACACCCCGAUGUCGGACUAUGUUGUUUCCACAAUUAUUCUAUUUCACUCUUUAUUUAGGAUUUAUUGCAUAUUAAUGACUUAAAUUAAAUUAUUAUAACUGUUUAAUAGAUAUUGGGGGUUUGUGUCGACUGGCCUUGUUUCACGAUAGGCGCCAUCAUGACCGGGUCCGGUUUAGGGUCGUGACAACAUCGAUCUGGAAUCUUGAAUUUCAAGUGUAAAAAAAUUUCUCAAGCUCUUAAUACUUGUUCCAAAGAUGCAUUACCAAGUGAUACAAUAGUGAAUCCAAAGGUUAGUAACAAUACGGGACAUGCAUGUUCGUUAUCACAAGAAGUGGAAGAGGCAAAAAUUCACCCACCUCAAAUGAAAAGCAAAUUGGUGAUGAUGACCAAAUGUUCCAAGAGGAGGAAGUCCUACAAAAUGACGUUCAAGUACAUGAUGAAGUUCUGAUUGAUAUUGAUGAUAGUGGAAGAGACUUGAGAGGAGGUGAACCCAUCUAGUCACAUGCCGGAUCCAGUGGUGCAAAAGGCUAUGAAGCCCUUGCAAAAGCCUCCACCUCCUUACACUCAAAGGCUCUCUAAGAAAAAUGGUGAGAAUCAAUUCAAGAAGUUUAUUCAAAUAAUAAAAGUCUCUCUAUCAAUAAGCCAUUCGUAGAAGCUUUGGAGAAAAUGCCCGAUUAUGCCAAAUUUAUGAAAGAUCUUGUGACCAAGAAGAGGUCGAUGAACUUUGAAACGAUCAAGGUCACUCAUCAAGUUAGUGCUAUUGUUCAUUCCAUGGCUCCUAAGUUGGGAGGAUCCCGACGCUGACACAAUUCCUUGUACUAUUGGAAGUGACAAUUUUGCUAAAGCUUUAUGUGAUCUUGGGGAGAAAAUCAACUUGAUACCCUAUUCGGUGUUCAAAACUUUUGGAAUUGGAAAACCAAGACCCACAUCUAUGAGGUCACAAAUGACCGACUGCACAAUGAAAAAACUGUUGGGUGCGAUUGAGGAUGUAUUGGCCCGAGCUGAUAAAUUUAUUCUUUCGGCGGACCUUGUGAUUCUAGAUUGUGAGGUUGAUUAUGAAGUUCAUAUCAUUCUUGAUAGGCCUUUCCUUGCUACAGGUAAGGCCUUUGUAAUGUUGAAAAGAUGAUUGGUUGCACAAUUCUCGUUGUUUCUCUUCCUGGUCUUACCCGUUUGUUCGUAUUUGAUUACUUGUGGUUCUCAUUAUGUGUUCUCUUCUUGUUGCCUAUUUGUUCUAAUUUUUGUCAUUAGCUUACAUUAUUACACUGCUUAGUUAUCAUUCAUUUUCUCAUUUACUGUUAAUUGUCUUUGUUAUACCUUUUUUAGUUUAUUUUAUCCUAGUAUGUGUCUUAACCUGGCCUCAUCACUACUCUACCGAGGUUAGGCUUGAUACUUAUUGGGUAUCGUUGUUGUGUACUCAUACUACGCUUCUGCAUAUUUUUGUGCAUAUUCAGGUACAUCUUCCCGUGAUGAAUGCCAGUGAUUGAUUAGCUACUUUUGGAGACUUCAAGGUAUACCUGCUCGACGUUCGCAAGCCUCGAAGUCACCUUCUGCUUUUAGAUAUUCUAUUGUUUAUUUCUUAUUACAAAACAAUGUUGUAUUUGAGACUAUUAGUGCAUUCCUGUAGAGCAUAUGACUCUGUUCUACCAGGUUUUGGGAAGUUGUUGACAGUUGUACUGUUGAGUUUUAUUAUGAUAACUUAAUGGUUAAAUUGAGGUUUUAUUAUUAUUUAUGCUGUUUCUUAAUGUAUGUUAGGCUUACCUAUUCUUAAAGACUAGGUGCCAUCAUGACAUUCUAAGGUUGGAGAUUGGGGUCAUGACAUAACCCCAUAUCACCCAUAAGCAAGUGGUCAAGUGAAAGUUUUGUUACAACCCGUAAGUUUAACAACCUUGAUACCGUUAUAUACAUUGGAUAUGAUAUUUUUAGUGGAAUACUUUUGUAAAAAGUUUGAAAAUUAUGAUUUUAUAUAGUUAUUAAUAUUACUACUUUCAAUUAUACACAUAAUAUGAGAAAGUUUACGAGAUUUUCUUUAUUGUAAAGAAAUAAAUUAUUUUCUCACAUGAAAAGAAGGUUAUCUUUUUACCAUUUUAAGGAAUAAGCGUAUGAAAAUUUGUACUCUUUUUGUGAGAUUAGGAAAAUUGUAAGUUGAGAAAAUAUGUGCAUUUUUUAGAUGGAUAUUUUAAUGAAAUAAUAGUGUAUGUAUUAAUAAAAUAUGGUACCACAUGACCAUGAUAGUAAAGUAUAUUAUAGGAAGUUGUAUAAAGUGUAUUAAAAAUAAGUAAAAUUUUAAAUAAGUUUAGAUAAUUCUUAAUUAUACGAGUAAUUGGUUAAUUAUCGGAUAAUGAAACAUUACCUAAUUCACUAAUAAAUUGGAUAGAAUUAAAAUUUUUCCCCACUCACGUGGCAGCCACAUGCAAAUGCAUUAAGUGACUCAUAUGCAUAUACUACGUGAUUCAUAUACCAUAAAUGGUUAACUUGUCAUCAUAUUGGGAGUAGAAGUUAGUAUUUUUAUUACUACUGGCUUAGAGUGAUUUUGUUUUUGGAGCAGGGGUUCCACUCUAUUUCUGAUUUUGGGUUCAUUCCGGGUAAAGUGUUGGUGAAAGAAUAAGAAAGUGAGAAUAGGAGAAGGAAAGAGAUCUGUUGCUCCCUUGUCGUCGGUGUCAACUACUAAGUAAUAUCAUUUUUCUCCGAUGAGAUUUUCUAAGUCAUUUGUCAGUAAAUAAUAGUUAGAAGAAAUUUAGUUUCUAACUCUUUACUAGCAUGAACGAUUGCGUUUGAGGUUAUGAAGAAAGUUGAACAAUUGCUAAGGGGCUAUGUAUGGAACGCCAAACUCCUGCUUUGUAUCCUUGUAGUAUGUGGACUAUAGAAAUAGUCCUUUUAGGACUCAAUUUAUUUCUUCAAGGAGUUUAUAUCCUUUUUGUCCUAUGGCUAAGUUACAAACGGUGGUAGACUUGCUAAUAAAGCACAAUCACUAGAUCAACGUUAAAACUCAACUUUUUAAAUUCCACAAAUAUUCUUUAGUUUGGAACAACAAUUGUAGCAAUCGUUGGGAGGUUUUCUCAACCAAAUUAAGGUAAGUUGUACAAGGUGUACUUGAAAACCUAUAAUUGAAUUCUAGUUGCUGUUUUCUAAGAACAUGUCGGAAGUCACCAGAGAAGUUUUGCAAUUGCAAUCAUGUCAGAAUGCACUAGUAACCAGAAUUUUGUCAAGAGAAUCGAUUCAGGUAUGCUAACGUUAUCCUUUUUUUUUAUAAUCUAUAUGACACAAGCAAAACGAGCAAAUGUACAAUUUUCAUAAAUUAUUCUAUUUGUAGAUAUGCUAGAGAUGUGCAUAUUCUUGUUCUCCCAUAAGUCUUAUUAUUCUAUCGUCUGUUUAUGGGUCUCAGAAAAAUAUGUAUUUGAUAAAGUUUAUCCAAAAGGUAUAUUGUUUUAUGGGAUCCGAGAAAAUCUUAUUUAACGUAUUUCUUAUGCAUUUCAUGCAUUUAUACAUGUACAUUGACCCAUGACUCAGACGACGUUAUAUACGCGUAUAUAUGUAUAUGAGAUAUGGGAAAAGGUUACGUCGUUAUAUAUGCACCACCACAUGAUCAGCUGGUAUACAUUGAUGAUUUUCCCACAAUGACCGAGAUGAUAUGACGGGAUGCCUUCAGAGGCCUGAUAAUGUUAUGUACAUACAGACCUAUGCAUUACAUGACAUUUAUAUGCAUAUGCAUGGUUUUAUAAAUAUUUCAUGAUUUACAGAGCUAUUCAGACUUAUAAGUUGAGUCCUUUACUCCAUGUUUCUUCCAUGCUCUUUACAUAUUUAUUAACACGCCUUACAUACUCAGUACAUUAUUCGUACUGACGUCUUUUUGUUGGGGACGCUGCAUUCAUGUAUGUAGGCAUAGAUAAUUAGUUUGACGAGUCCUCAUAGUAGACGGGAUUGGAAUUCAGCGAAGGAUCGGUAAGACUCCACCCCAUUCAGAGUGCAGCCAAGUCUAUGAGUCAUCGUGUCAGAGUUUUACUACAGACUUAUAGGUAGGCUGGUACCCUAUCCCAUUUGAUGUCAAUUAUUCUUAGAGGCUUUGUAGACAGAGGUUCAUUUUGUACAGUAUGUCAGAGGCUUUGACGGCCCAUAUGUACUCAUAUUUUAUGAACGAUGGUUCAAUGAUACAGUGAUUGCUCACUUAUAGUUAUACAUUAUGUAAUGACCCGGCCGGUUGUUUUAAGAAUUAAUGCCCUGAUCCCCUAUUAACUGCUUUCCCCGUGUUUGUUUUUGCGAUUGUGAUUUGCCGGGAUGAUUUGUUUUGAGUUUCAGAGUAUUUUGAUACACUUAGUCCCUAAAAGAGAGCUUAAGCUUUAGAAAUUUAGAACGUAGUCGGAGUAGUGUGAAGAUGGCCUCGGAAUGGAAUUCUGUUUGGUUCCGUUAGCUCCGUUGGGUUAUUUAGGGCUUAGGGGCAUGUUCGGAUUGUGUUUUGGAGGUCCGUAUCUUAUUUAGUCUUACAAUGCCGAAAGUUGAAUUUUUGAAGUUUCCGAUUCGAUAGUGAGAUUUUGAUAUCAGGGUGGGAAUGUAAUUCUGGAAGUUGGAGUAGCUCCGUCGUGUUGAAUGUGACGUGUCUGCAAAAUUUCAGGUCAUUCGGACGAGGUUUGAUAGACUUUUUGAUCAAAAGCGUAAUUUGAGAGUUUUUGGAGUUCUUAGGCUUGAAUCCGAUGCUAAAUUGGUGUUUUGAUGUUGUUUUGAGCGUUCCCAAGGUUGGAACAAGUUUGAAUGAUGUUUUAGGAUUGGUUGACAUGUUUGGUUGAGGUCCUGGGGGCCUCGGGUGUGUUUCGGAUGCUCAACGGACCAUUUUUGGACUUGGAGAAGGAUACGAUUUUUGCUGGUAUUUGCUGCAGACUUUUCUUCAUAGCGAUCGCGAAGUCUUAGAUGAGCCAGAGGGGAUUUUUGUUCAAUGUGAUCGCGGGCAAGGGAGUGCGAAUGCGUAGUAUUGGCAGAAGUUGAAUCGCGAACGCGUGGCCACGCCGCGUUCGCGGAGCGGAAAAAGUGAGGCAGUUGAGGAGUGGAAGUUUGCUCUUCGCGAUCGCGUGAGGUCAACCGUGAAUGCGUAGAGCUGAUAAGCGGAAGCAUCGCGUUCGCGUAAGGAGUAUCACGUUCGCGUAAAGUAAAUUUGGGAGCCAGCAAAGUUGCUCUUCGCGAUCGCAUGGGAGUUUCUGCGAUCGCGAUUAAGGUCGCGUAUGGGCAGAACAUAAAGUUCAAAAUCGAGGGUUAUGAGUUCAUAUCACAAAGUUGAAUUGGGAGCUCGGUAGGAGAUGAAUUUUAUAGAAAUUUUCGGAGGGAGUUUGCAGGUAAUGAUUCUUAACUCCUUUUUGCUUAUAACCCAUUAAUCUAAAUAUGAAUUCAUUGUUUAAUUUCGCAUUUGAGGUGAGAAAUUGGGGAGAAAUUUGGAAAAGUUCUUAGACCUAAUUUUCGAGUUUUGAUUGGGGAUUUGAUAUCGGAUUUGGAUAAUUUUGGUAUGGUUAGACUCGUGAGUGAAUUGGGGUUCAUAAUUCGUAACUUCCACCCAAUUCCGAUACGUGGGCUCGGGGGACUUUUUGGGCAAUUUUCUUAAUUUCGCGUAUUAUUUUCAAAUUAAUUAGUGGAAUCAGUUACUUGAAGUUAUAUUUACAUUAUGCAAUUGAUUUGAAUAGAUUUGGGCCAUUUGGAGUCGAGUACUCAUGGCAAGAGCGUGAUUUCGGGUUGAUUUUUGAGCCGGUACGAGGUAAGUGGCUUAUCUAACCUUGUAUGGGGGACAUCCCCCCCUAGAAUUUGGUAUUGUUGUUAUAUGAAUUCCGUGUACGUGAGGUGAUGAGUGUGUACACAUGCUAAUUGUUAGAAACCCAUUUUCAUUAAGUAAAUUAACUGUGUUUUUUCUUUCCUCUUGAACAUUACUUGUACGUUAAGCCUACUUUGUAGUAUAGGGAAGCAUAAUUACGUGAAUUAACUGUCCUAUCUCUUUAAACUGUUUACGUAAAUUCUGUGCAACAUGUUAGAAUAGAAGUCUCUAUUUUCUUGGUACAGACUUGAAUGAAAUUGUGGAUUCUUUCCUUGAGAUUGUUGGGUUUUCAAUUUGGGACUACGGAUGAGUAUUUUGGGAGAUCCCCUGCACAUAUAUUAAUUUGGACUGUAGUGCGGGAUACUGAGAGAUCCCCAUCACAUAUAUCAAGGAUACUAAGAAAUCCUCGGGAUACCGUGAGAUACCCAGCACAUAUAUUGAGGAUACUAAGAGAUCCUUGGGAUACCGAGAGAUCCCAAACACACAUAUUGAGGAUACAAAGAGAUCCUCGGGAUACUGAGAGAUCCCCAAGUAUUUACGUUUGGGACUAAGGGACGGGAUCCCAAGAGAUCCCCCGUAGAUAUUUCGGUGUACUAAGUGUGUAUUAUCUGUGUUUUCUUCUCAUUUACUGAUAUUGUAUUAUACUAUUGCACCUUACACUGUCUUACUUUGUCUUAUAUAUUGAUAACUGAUAGGGACCUAACCUUCCUCGUUACUACCCGACUGAGGUUAGGCUUGGCACUUACUGGGUACUGUUGUGGUGUACUCAUGCCCUUUCCUGCACUUGUUUUCCGUGUGCAGAUCCAGGUACAUCGGCUCAGACAUAUCGUUAGUGAGGCGAGGCGAUCUCUAGAGACUUUGUGGUAUAUCUGCCGCGUCCGCAGACCGAGGCGUCCCUAUCUACUCUCUCUCUUUUAGUUAUAGCCCUUAUGUACUUUUCUUUUGUUUAGACACUCUAGAGUUAGAACACCUUGUAGUUAUUCCACAACUUGUGAUUUCAUGAGAUUCCGAAUUUUGGGAAAUGUAGUUUCAGCUUGAGAGUUUGUACUGUAUAUGUCGAGCAGCAUCGUAAACGCUUCAUUAUGUUAUUUCUGCAGUUGCUGGCUAGUUUUAUUCUGUUGUUUCUUUUCUGCAAUUUUUUAGGCUUACCUAGUCGUAGAGACUAGGUGCCGUCACAAUAGUUCACGGAGGGCAAAUUGGGGUCGUGACAAGUUGGUAUCAGAGCUCUAGGUUCAUAGGAGUCAUGAAUCACAAGUCGGUUUAUUAGAGUCUCGAGGAUCGGUACGGAGACGUCUGUACUUAUCUUCGAGAGUCUAUGUAACUGUAAAGAAAUUCCACUUCAUUUGAUUUCUUUGUCGUGCGAGAUUUUGAUAUCACAAUUCUAAUCUUUUGUCUUCGAUUAUCUCACAGAUGGUGAGGACACGUGCUACUAAAGAUGAUCAAGCACCUGUGCCCCCUACUGGAGCCGUCAUAGGUCGGGGUCGGGGUAGAGGCUGAGGAUGCGCACGUGGUGCAGCCAGAGCACCUGCGUGAGCUACCACCGAGGUGCCACUAGAAGUUCCAGCUGGAGUCCAGGCACCUGAUACGCCUACUACUACUACUACUACUCCAGCUCUUCAGGAGACUUGCACAGUUCAUGAGCAUGUACACCACUCUGGCUCAGGCAGGGUUGCUUCCCCUUGCUGCAGCCACAUCUCACGCCGGGAGAGGAGCAUAGUCUCCCGUCGCCCGCACUCCUGAGCAGCGAGUGUAUGUUGAUCAGGUCCCAGAGAUUAUUCUGGUACAACCUGCAAUCCCAGAUCAGCUCGAGGACAGGGCAGUGGCUUCCGAGGAUGAACAACUAAGGCUUGAGAGGUUCAAGAAGUACAAGCCUCUUGUAUUCAGUGGUCUAGCAUAAGAUGAUGCUAUGGGAUUUAUAGAUGAGUGCCACCGUAUCCUCUAUAUCAUGGGUGUAUCAGGAUCGAGUGAGGUUUCCUUCACUACCUUCUAGCUUCGAGGGGUCGCCUAUGAGUGGUGGCAUACUUAUGAGUUAGACAGUCCGGAUGAGGCAGCUUCCCUGACUUGGACUCAGUUUUCAGAUAUGUUCCUGAGAAAGUAUGUUCCUUAGAGCCUCAGGGACAUAUGGUGCACAGAGUUUGCGCAUUUGCGCUAGGGUUUUAUGACUGUCUCAGAGUAUGUUGUCCGUUUCACUAGCCUAGGUAGACAUGCACCAGCCUUGGUUUCUACUGUUCGCGAGAGGGUCCGCCAGUUUAUUGAAGGGCUCAUUCCCAGCAUCAGGUCUAGCAUGGCUCGUGAGUUGGAGAUUGAUAUUUCUUAUUAUCAGGUGGUGAGCAUUGCUAAGAGAGUGGAGGGUAUGCAUGCUCGGGAUAGAUAGGAGAGGGAGGCAAAGAGGUCUCAAGAGUCGGGCAAUUAUUCUGGUGCCCGUGCUCCGGCUACAGUUCGUCAUGGUAGGGGUUAUAUGAGUCGCCCCGUUCGUUCAGAUCUUCAAGCAGCCAGUCGUAUUCCAUCUCCUCAUAGGACUAAGAAGCCUUAUUAUGCACCUCCAGUAUCUACGACGCCUUCUACGCGGGGUGCUUUCAGAGGUCAGUCCAAUAGACUUGGCCCGAGACAGCGACAUCCGCCAUGUCCUCCCAGAGCUUGUUUUGAGUGUGGUGACACAUGCCAUGUGGUGAGGGAUUGCCCUAGACUUGGGAGGUGUGCACCUCCAUAGACUUUUCAGCCAUAGCGUGCCCCGUAGAGUUCUCAAGCUAUGGUUACAAUACCAGUUGCUACCGCACCUGCUCAACUAGCUAGACGUGGAGGUCGGGGAGGUAGAGGUCGCCCUAAAGGGGGAGGCCAGGACAAAUAUUAUGCUCUUCCUACCCGUACUGAGGCCGUCUCCUUUGAUUCUGUUAUCACAGGUAUUGUCCUGGUUUGUCAUAGAGAUGCAUCGGUUUUAUUUGAUUCAGGCUCCACCUAUUCUUAUGUGUCUUCUUAUUUUUCCCUAUAUUUGGGUGUAUCUCAGAAUUCUUUGAGUUCCCCUAUUUAUGUUUCUACUCAUGUGGGAGAUUCUCUUGUUGGGAACUGCGUUUAUUGAUCGUGUGUGGUAGCUCUUAGUGGUUUUGAAACCAGAGCCGAUUUAGUAUUUCUCAGCAUNNNNNNNNNNNNNNNNNNNNNNNNNNNNNNNNNNNNNNNNNNNNNNNNNNNNNNNNNNNNNNNNNNNNNNNNNNNNNNNNNNNNNNNNNNNNNNNNNNNNNNNNNNNNNNNNNNNNNNNNNNNNNNNNNNNNNNNNNNNNNNNNNNNNNNNNNNNNNNNNNNNNNNNNNNNNNNNNNNNNNNNNNNNNNNNNNNNNNNNNNNNNNNNNNNNNNNNNNNNNNNNNNNNNNNNNNNNNNNNNNNNNNNNNNNNNNNNNNNNNNNNNNNNNNNNNNNNNNNNNNNNNNNNNNNNNNNNNNNNNNNNNNNNNNGAAGAAGGAUGGUUCUAUGCGUAUGUGCAUUAAUUAUCGUCAGUUGAACAAAGUUACAGUGAAGAACCGUUAUCCUUUGCCUCGUAUUGAUUAUUUGUUUGACCAACUACAGGGUGCACGAGUGUUUUCUAAGAUUGACUUGCAUUCAGGUUACCAUCAGUUGAAGAUUCAGGAGCCAGAUAUCCCAAAGACUGCUUUCAGGACUCUAUAUAGUCAUUACAAGUUCCUUGUUAUGUCAUUUGGGCUGACCAAUGCCCAUGCAACCUUCAUGCAUUUGAUGCACAAUAUGUUCUGGCCAUAUCUUGACUCAAUCAUCAUUGUCUUUAUUGAUGAUAUUCUGGUAUAGUCCCGGAGUCGGCAAGAUUAUGAGCAGCACCUGAGGACAGUGCUUCAGACUUUGAGGGAAAAGAAGUUAUAUGCAAGUUCUCGAAAUGUGAGUUUUGGUUGGAUUCCGUGGAAUUCUUAGGCCAAGUGGUAUCGAGUGAGGGUAUUUAGGUGGAUCCGAAGAAAGUGGAAGAAGUGCAGAGUUGGCCCAGACCAUCCUCGGCUACAGAGAUCCAUAGUUUUCUUGGCUUGGCGGGUUAUUACCGUCGAUUUGUUGAGGGGUUUUCAUCUAUUGCAGCUCCUAUGACCAGGCUAACCCAGAAGGGUGCUCCGUUCUAGUAGACGGAAGAGUGUGAGGCGAGCUUUCAGAAGCUCAAGACAGAUUUGACUAUGGCCCUAGUUUUGAUAUUGCCUACAGGUUUGGGGUCUUAUACUAUCUAUUGUGAUGCCUUGAGGAUUGUUCUUGGAGCGGUAUUGAUGCAGGAAAGUAUGGUGAUUGCCUACGCGUCCAGACAGUUGAAGGUACAUGAGAAGAAUUAUCCUGUCCAUGAUCUCGAGUUAGCUGCUAUUGUUCACGCCUUGAAGAUCUAGCAUCAUUAUUUGUAUGGUGUGCCUUAUGAGAUUUAUGCUGAUCACCGGAGUUUGCAGCAUCUAUUCAAGCAGAAGGACCUUAAUUUGUGUUAGAGGAGGUAGUUAGAGCUGCUGAAGGACUAUGAUAUCACUAUCUUGUAUCACCCAGACAAGGCCAAUAUGGUGGCCAAUGCAUUGAGUUGCCGAGCAGAGAGUUUGGGGAGUUUGGCUUAUUUAACAGCAGUAGAGAGGACCAUGGCAAUGGAUGUUCAGGCCUUAGCCAGCUAGUUUAUGAGAUUGGAUCUUUCAGAGCCUAGUCAAGUUCUAGCUUGCGUGGUUUCUCGGUGUUCAUUGUUUGAUCGUAUCCGGGAGCGUCAGUUUGAUGACUCUCAUGCUUGUCCUCAAGGACAAGGUUCUGCAUGGCGAUGCCAAAGAUGUGACUAUUGGUGAUGACGGGGUAUUGAGGAUGCAGGGUCGGUUAUGUGUGCCCAAUGUUGAUGGGCUUCGGGAGUUGAUUCUAGAGGAGGCCCAUAGUUUGUGGUAUUCCAUUCAUCCGGGUGCCACGAAGAUGUACCAGGAUUUGAGGCAGCACUAUUGGUGGAGGCGGAUGAAAAAAGAUAUAGUUGGGUUUGUAGCUCGGUGUCUCAAUUGUCAGCAGGUGAAGUAUAAGCACCAGAGACCGGGUGGGUUGCUUCAGCAGAUAGAGAUUCCAGAGUGGAAGUGGGAGCGGAUCACCAUGGACUUCGUAGUUGGGCUCCCACAGACUUUGAGAAAGUUCAAUGCCAUUUGGGUGAUUUUGGAUUGGCUGACCAAGUCCGCGCACUUCAUUCCUGUGUGUACUACUUAUUCUUCGGAGCGAUUGACAGAGAUUUAUAUCCGGGAGACUGUUCGUCUGCAUGGUAUUCCAGUUUUCAUCAUUUCAGAUAGAGGUACUCAGUUCUCAUCACGGUUUUGGAGGGCCGUACAACAUGAGUUGGGUACUCAGGUGGAGUUGAGUACAACAUUUCACCCCAGAUGGACAGACAGUCCGAGCGUACUAUUCAGAUUCUUGAGGAUAUGCUCUGUGCGUGUGUGAUAGAGUUUGGAGGUUCUUGGGAUCCGUUCUUGCCACUGGCGGAGUUUGUCUACAACAAAAACUAUCAGUUCAGCAUUCAGAUGGCACCGUAUGAGGCUUUAUAUGGUAGGCAGUGUAUAUCCCCGAUGGAUUGGUUUGAGGCGGGUGAGGCUAGAUUAUUGGGCAUAGACUUGGUUCAGGAUGCUUUGGAGAAGGUUAAGGUGAUUCAAGAUAGACUCUAUACAACCCAGUCCAGACAAAAACGUUACGUCGAUCGGAAGGUUCGUGAUGUUUCCUAUAUGGUUGGAGAGCGGGUUCUGCUUCGGGUUUCGCCUAUGAAGGGAAUUAUGAGAUUAGGGAAGAAAGGGAAAUUGAGUCUGAGGUUUAUUGUUCCUUUUGAGAUAUUAAGACGUGUUGGGGAGGUUGCUUAUGAGCUUGUCUUACCUCCCAUCCUGGCCGGAGUUCAUACGGAAUGGAAUUCCAUUGAUUUUUUUAGCUCCGUUGGGUGAUUUCGAGCUUAAGGGCAUGUUCGGAUUGUGUUUUGGAGGUCCGUGGCUUAUUUGGGCUUGAAAUGCCGAAAGUUGAAUUUUUGAAGUUUCCGGUUCCAUAGUGAGAUUUUGAUAUCGGGAUCGGAAUGGAAUUCCGGAAGUUGGAGUAGCUUCGUAGUGUUUAAUGUGACGUGCUUGCAAAAUUUCAGAUCAUUCGGACGAGGUUUGAUAGACUUUUUGAUCGAAAGCGUAAUUUGAGAGUUUCUGGAGUUCUUAGGCUUGAAUCCAAUGCUAAAUUGGUGUUUUGAUGUUGUUUUGAGCGUUCCGAAGGUUGGAACAGGUUUGAAUGAUGUUUUAGGAUUGGUUGGAAUGUUUGGUUGAGGUCCCGGAGGCCUCGGGUGUGUUUUGGAUGCCCAACGGACAAUUUUUGGACUUGGAGAAGGAUAAGAUUUUUGCUGGUAUUUGUUGCAGAUUUUUCUUCAUCGCGAUCGCGUGAUGAGGCUCGUGAUUGCGAAGGCUUAGAUGAGGCAGAUGGGAUUUUUGUUCUACGCGAUCGCGGGCAAGGGAAUGCGAACGCCUAGUAUUGGCAGAAGUUGAAUCGCGAACGCGGCAUAACCCACGUAUUGGCUGAGGAGUGGAAGUUUGCUCUUCGCAAUCGCGUGAGGUCAACCACAAUAGUGUAGAGCUGAGCAGCGGAAGCAUCACGUUCGCAUAAGGAGUAUCACGUUCGUGUAGAGUAAAUCUAGGAGCCAACGAAGUUUCUCUUCACGUUCGCGUGGAAGUUUCUGUGAUCGCGAUUAAGGUCGCGUCUGGGCAGAACAUAAAGUUCAAAAUCGAGGGUUUUGAGUUCAUAUCACAAAAUUGAAUUGGGAGCUCUGUAGGAGAUGAAUUUUGGAGAGAUUUUCGGAGGGUGUUUGCGGGUAAUGAUUCUUCACUCCUUUUUGCUUAUAACCCAUUAAUCUAAACAUGAAUUCAUCGUUUAAUUUUGGAUUUGGGGUGAGAAAUUGGGGAAAAUUUUGGAAAAGUUCUUAGACCUAAUUUUUGUAUUUUGAUUGGGGAUUUGACAUAAGAUUUGGAUAAUUUUGGUAUGGUUAGACUCGUGAGUGAAUGAGGGUUCAUAAUUCGUAACUUUUACCCGAUUCCGAGAUGUGGGCCCGGGGGAAUUUUUGGGCAAUUUUCUUAAUUUCGCGUAUUAGCUUUGAAUUAAUUAGUGGAAUCAGUUACUUGAAGUUAUAUUUACAUUAUGCAAUUGAUUUGAAUAGGUUUGACAAUUUGGAGUCAAUUACUCGUGGCAAGAGUGUGGUUUCGGGUUGAUUUUUGAGCCAGUUCGAGAUAAUUGGCUUGUCUAACCUUGUGUGGGGGACACCCCCCUAGGAUUUGGUAUUGUUGUUAUAUGAAUGUCGUGUACGUGAGGUGACGAGUGCAUACACGUGCUAAUUGUUGGAAACCCAUUUUCAUUAUGUAAAUUAACUGUAUAUUUUCUUUCCUCUUGAGCAUUACUUGUACUUUAAGCCUACUAUGUAGUAUAGGGAAGCAUGAUUACGUGAAUUAACUGUCCUAUCUGUUUAAACUGUUUAAGUAAAUUCUGAACAGCAUGUUAAAAUAGAAGUCUUUGUUUUCUUGGCACGGACUUGAAUGAAAUUGUGGAUUCUUUCCUUGAGAUUGUUGUGUUUUUAAUUUGGGACUGCGGAUGAGUAUUUUGGGAGAUCCCCUACACAUAUAUUGAUUUUGACUGUAGUGCAGGAUACCGAGAGAUCCCCAACAUAUAUAUUAAGGAUACUAAGAGAUCUUUGGGAUACCGAGAGAUCCCUAGAACACAUAUUGAGGAUACUAAGAGAUCUUUGGGAUACUGAGAGAUCCCCGAGUACUUACGUUUGGGACUACGGGACGGAAUUCCGGGAGAUCCCCCAUCGAUAUUUUGGUGUACUGAGUGUGUAUUUUCUAUGUUUUCUUCUCAUUUACUAAUAUUGUUUGAUUAUACUGUUGCACUUUACACUGUCUUACUUUGUCUUAUAUAUUGAUAUCCGGUAGGGCCCUGACCUUCCUCGUCACUACCCGACCGAGGUUAGACUUGGCACUUACUGGGUACCGUUGUGGUGUACUCAUGUCCUUUCCUGCACAUAUUUUCCAUGUGCAGAUCCAGGUACAUCGGCUCAGCCAUAUCGUUAGCUAGUCGAGGCGAUCUCUAGAGACUUUGAGGUAUGUCUGCCGCGUCCGUAGACCGAGGGUUCCCUAUCUACUAUAUUUUUUUUAGUUAUCGCCCUUCUGUACUUUUCUUUUGUUUAAACACUCUGGAGUUAGAACACCUUGUAGUUAUUCCACAGCUUUUGAUUUCAUGAGAUUCCGGGUUUUGGGAAAUGUAGUUUCAGUUUGAGAGUUUGUACUGUAUAUGCCGAGCGGCAUCGUAAACUCUUCAUUAUGUUAUUUCUGCAGUUGUUGGCUAGUUUUAUUCUGUUGUUUGUUUUUCCGCAAUUUGUUAGACUUAGCUAGUCAUAGAGACUAGGUGUCAUUACGAUAGUUCACGGAGGGCGAACUGGGGUCGUGACACAUUAUGAGUUUUUGCCAUGUUGGCCCAUGAUAGUUGCAGAAGAAAAAAAAUGAGUUACAAAGUGGUUCGCUCGUGCCAGUUCGGCACCGGGUGCCAACCACGCCUCCCCAGGUUUGGGGCGUGACAAGUUUCAACAGCGAGAUAAAGAGUUUUUUUUCAAGGCGGUGAAUGCAAAUCCGUCGGAUUGGUCUAAGAAGCUUGAUGAUGCUUUAUGGGCAUAUAGAACGUCUUACAAAACACCUAUCGAAAUGUUCCGAUAUUAGUUAGUGUUUGGAAAAGCUUUUUAUCGUUUGGUGGAAUUAGAGCACAAGGCAAUGUGGGCCUUGAAGAAACUAAAUCUUGAUUGGGAUGUAGCUGCUAACUUGCUGGUUGCAAAUUUGAAUGAAUCGAAUGAAUUUCGAUACCAUGAUUACGAGAGUUCGUCCUUAUACAAAGAAAAGAUGAAGUACCGUCAUGACAAGUAUAUUUGGAAUAAGGAGUUCAAGGCUGGUGAUCUAUUGUUGUUGUUAAACUCAAGGUUGAGAAUGUUUUACGAUAAGCUUAAAUCAAAAUGGAUUGGUCCAUUUGAAGUUGUUGGUGUGACACCCUUCGGUGAUUUUGACUUGAAGAACAAGAACAAUAAAAUAUUUCGGGUUUAUGGUUACUGAGUGAAACAUUAUUUGGGAAAAGUUGGUGACAGCCACAUGGUGGUAGUUCUUUAUUUCAAUUGAGGAUGCUCUGAUAUUGCGUCGUACCAUGACAUUAAAUAAGCCGCUUCUUGAGAGGCAACCCAAGUUCUUUUCCUUUUCCCCUUUAAGUGUAGAUAUUGUUUUAUUGUUUUAAACCAUAUUUGAAGUGUGCUUCUGUUACACCCCACAAUAUUAUGAUGAUGUUACGCCUUGCACUAUUAUAUUAGGAUGAUAUUAUGCUUUGCAGUAUUAAGUUAUAACAAUGUUGCACCCAGAAGUAUUACAUUACAGUGAUGUUACGCUUCGCAGUAUUAAGUUACGACGAUGUUGCACCCUGUAUUAUUGUACGUUGAAUUUGUCGUAAGGCAAUUGACAUCAGUCCAAGUAAAAGAUUAUUUGGAUAUUAUAAGGAUUAUGCUAUUUCACAAGUGAUGAGUAAAUUCGUGAAAGUGAAAGGGAAGCAAGUCAAAGAAAUGAAUUUUCAAAAUUUGGCAUUUUGGGGUAAAAUACGGCCUGAGCUAAAAUACCCAGUAUUUAUGGACUAGUGCCAUACAAGUUACUGCAUGACCAUAAGGUAUACAAGGUAUGUUAAAAGAGAGUAGUAUUUUAAGUAAUUCGAGAUAAUUUUUAAUUAUGCGGGUAAUUGGUUAAUUACCGGGUAACGAAACAUUACCUAAUUACCUAAUAAGUGGAUAAAGAUUAAUAAUUCUCACCCUACCCUCCAAAAAUGUGGCAACUAGCCACAAUCUAAGAGAAGUGACUCUUUAGUCUUCUUAGAUGGGUGGCAACUAGGUUAGUAAAUAAAGAGACACAUCAUUUCUUAUGUUCCUUAUACAAAUCCUUACAAUCCAAAGAAAGUUAACUAUUUUUAAAAGCUUUCAACAAUCAGAUCCUUUGGAACUUUACAAGUCAAAAUUAUUAGCAUUUUGCCAUCCAAAACAAAUGUUAGCAUUUCCUGGAAAACAUUGGUUAUUUUCAAGCUUUCAAAGCUUAAUUUUCAAUUCUUGCAAAAAAAGACACCAACAGGAUGUUUGAAAGAAGACAUUAGCAACGAGAUUUCUUGCAAUCAAUUCUCCUACAAGAAUAUUAUAUGGAUUUUCCCUACUACAGGUAUGUUAAGGUCAUCCCUUCUUUCUUUUGGCAUGGUCCAAAUAAUACAAAUGAAACGAGAAAAAUACGCAACUUUCAUAAAUUACUCUAUUCAUAGAAAUACUAGGGGUGUCUAUAUUCUUGAAUCCCCAUGUAAAUUAUUAUGUUCAUGGGUCUCAGUAAAAUACGUAUUUGAUACAGUUUAUCCGUAAGGCAUAUUGAUUUUUAUGGCAUUCCGAGAAAAUCUUAUUGACGUAUUUCUUAUGCAUUUGAUGCAUUUAUACAUGCACAUUGACCCAUGACUAGAUGACGUUAUAUACGCGUAUAUAUGUAUAUUAUAUUUAUAUGGGAUAUGGGAAAAAGGUUAUGGCGUUAUAUACGCACCACCACAUGAUCAGCUGGUAUACGUUGGUGAUUUUGCCCAUAGUGGCCAAGAUGAUAUGAUGGGAUGCCCUCAGAGGCUGAUGAUGUUAUGAAACAUGUACCUAUGCACAACGUGACAUUCAUACGCAUAUGCAUGAUACUAUAAUUAUUUCAUGAAUUACAAAGUUAUUCAGACUUACAGGUGGAGUCAUUUACUCUAUAUUUCCUUCAUGUUUGUUAUGUACUUAUUUAUGUUCCUUACAUACUCGGUACAUUAUUCGUACUGACGUCUCUUUUUUCCUGGGUACACCGUGUUUCAUGCCCGCAGGUCUCGAUAGACAGGUCAAGAGCCCUCCAAGUAAACUAUCAGCUCAGUGGAAGAUGUUGGUGCACUCCAUUUGCUUCGGAGUUGCUUGUUUGGUUAGUAGGAGUUAGAUGUGUAUUGUUUGGUAUGGCGGGACUCUGUCCCGACCUUUAUGAAAAUUAUGUAUCUUAGAGGCUUGUAGAUAGAUGUCAUGUACGUAAAAGAUCAUAUGGCCUUGUUGGCCUAUGUUUAGUGUUCAAGUGGUUAUUUUGGUCUUAGAGGCCCAUAUGUCUUCUGUAUAAGUUGGAAUUACCUGUUGUAUUCUAUGUCUUUCAUUGCAGCCUCUCCAGUUCAGUUAUUUAUGAUAGUAUAACAUGAAAAGAUACAUUAUGUUGGUACUCGAUUGAGUACGGUACUGGAUUCCCGUCGCGGCCCAUCAGUUUGGGUCGUGACAAAAGUGGUAUCAGAACAGUUCUGUCAUAGGGAGUCUACAAGCCGUGUCUAGCAGAGUCUCGUUUAUGGGUGUGUCGUGCACCACACUUAUAAGCAGGGGGCUACAGGGCAUUUAGGACUGUCACUCUUUUUCUUACUCUAGAUUGUGUGGUAGAGGUCACUUAUAAGAAUUCAAAUUCCAAACUUCUAUUUUUAUUCGUAAUAAGACGAUGCAUACGUUUAGAAAGAUGACCGAUAAGAGAUAUAGCUGUGGAAGUGUUGAAUUAGAGGAACUCGACUUUGUAUCAUGCUUAUGAUAAGUAAAUGUGAGGUUUUCAGUAGAUCAUGUGCGUAUUGAAAGGUUUAAGCCUCUUGAUAAGGAGUCUUGAGGCAAGAAUACCUAUCCACCUUAAUGGUGAAAGACAAUGAGAGAUUUAGAAGAUAAAUACAAGUUUCAAGAAGUAAAAGAAGCAAGUUGAAGAAGGGUACAAGAUGCCCAGUUAAUAAAUAUUAUCAUUAUUUACCAUUCAGGAAGGGAGAUACAAGCAUUUUGAGUUACUUGCAACAGUGAUAGAUGCAUGUACAAUCGGCCAUACCGAUCUCAGAUAUGCCCUAUGGGAGCUAUCAGACAUAGCUUAAGAGAAGGACAAGUUAUUAGGAUCCGGCUGGGGAUAGAGUAAUCCAAAAUAGUGGACGGAUUGGUAGAGUUAGUUGACAUUUCUGAAGGAUAGUACAAACGUGGUAAUGGAUCUCCUUGUAAGACACCUCGAUGGUGCACCCUAAAAUAGUACAGCCUGAUAUGCGUAUUACAAAGAUAAGCACUGGAAUCCUGGAAGGGAUUAAUAUUACCUUAGUGUGGCUCCCAUCCCCGGUAGAAAGAGAAUGUUAGGAAAUUCAAGAAUCCAAUGGAUGGAGCAAGAGGGGCUAGAAGCGAAAGAAUGUCUUGUUCGAGCUUUUGGAAUAAAGUGAUAGGCAUAAAUGUUAGCGGGAAAAUAAGAAGAAAGUUAAUGAAGCAGUAUGAGUAAAAUGUGGUACAUGGAUGACAACGGUAGAUCAAAAUGAUGACAAUUCUAAAGAGUCCAUACUCAAGAAGGAAAACACGAGAGGUGACACGCCUUGAGACAACAAAAGAGUAUAGGCCAUAAAGUCAUACCCUUAUUUCGAGAAAUAAGUUCGUGACUCCAACGCAACUACCACAAGGAAAUGUUAGACCUCAGAAUGAUAGAAAUCAGUAUGGGCUGGUGAAUAGGAUAAACUAAACAUGAAUUAGGGACUGAGUGAUUGAUAAUAGUCACCAUCAUAAGAAUUUCAGAUUUUGCUCCGGCAAUAAUAGAAUGGAUGACAAAAGAAGAUUCAUGAGAAAUUCAAAGAAUGGUCAUUUAGGAAGACGCUUCCCUAAAGCGAGCAAUGUGAGCAAAGUUCAGCUUAAGGGACUGCAUGUGCCAAUUACACUAAGUGUCACUAUUGCGAGUAAGGAAUAUUGUUAUUCUUGGUACAGAAGGAUUACCGCAAGGCGAGUAAGGGUCAUCGAUGAUGUGAAAAGGCGCCAAAGAUGAAGAGGUAAAAGAUCUAUACAUAGAUUAGUCAUAGCACUAAAUCUUAGUACUCUCCUAAAGGGGGGAAUAUGGAAUGACGUGACAUUACGUCAGAAGUAAGUGGUUCCUGUAAUUAUGGAAUGGUAAAGGAAGAAUGCGAUAAAACAAAAAAAGGGAUGAGAUUGCACUUAUUCAAAGCCUACAAUUAUGCUACGAUACGAGAAAAUUAUGCAAACACGACGUCACGGAAAGGAAGUAAGGAUUCCUGCCCGAGAUAUUAUUAAUUAAUAAGGAGCUAGUGUGAGAGGCAAGUUAAGAUAAAGGAAAUGAUCAAGAAAGAUUACACGAAAUAUUGAUAUGGGAAUGGGCCAACAAACAAUUAGUAGUUGAUUCAAGAAGAGCUUAGCUAUGGCUAGACAAGAGAAUACAGACAAAUCAAUAGAUCGUUCAAGAUAAAAUAGGGAACCCCAAUAUGAGGAAUUCAGCUCCAUAGUUAUGACAUCGUGAUCCUUGGAAAACAUCCAUAUAGGAGUUGGGGAAGUUAAAAAGGUACCGUAUGAGUGUUACAGAAAUAAAAAAAGUGCCACCGUGUAGACAGUCAAAAUAUUUGUUCAGGAGUAACCCUACAAGCACAAGGGCAUGGAGAAAAGUAACUACGGGUAAUUAUAAGCAAGGAAGAACAUCGAAAAUUCUGUCAGGCAUACAAUGUGAUAAGCUUGCAGCCUUACAAGAGUUAGAGGAUCCUCUCUAAAUACUACAAUGAAAGACUAGCUGAGAAAAUAAGGAAGAAGUCUUUAACCUAAGCUCAGUGACCUAAGGAGAGAAUGGUCACGUAACAACAGUCUCACAACAACAUUGGAAGCACUCCAAAGGAAAGUGGCACCUACCGUGGCUAAUGAAUAGGAAGUAAAAAUUAAAAGUAAUACUCGAGAUCAUAUGAGUUGCACGAAAACUCUGGCAUGUGUGGGCACUGAGAUAAGAUAAGUAUGGACGCAAUACGGGGGCAGAGAGACUAGGAAAAGUAAUAACUUACCUUGAAAGAAAGCUAUGAUGGAACGAAAGAAAUUAUUCGAUCAAUGAUCCAGAGUUGGUUACUUUAUGAACGCACUUAAGGGUUCAGAGUUUUAUACAUGCAACAUAUACAACCGUAGAAGAUUCUAGUAUACAUUAAAAGAAAGAAUUGAGCCAAGGUCAUAAACGAAGGAUUAAAUUGUUAAAUAAUAGUAUCAUGCAUAUUCCUCAACGCCCAUGAAAGGCUAAAUAGAAUAACUAAUACCAUGAGUUGCAGAUUGGAAGAUAACUUAAGCCGACAUAAAGGCCGAUAAGAAGAAGGAGGAAACUAAAGAGUUACAUCAACGGAGUAGAUUAUUGGACCCAGAAAAUUAUAGAAAUCGUGAUUGAGCACAUUACAGGGUCACUCUUAAUAUCAGAGGUACAAGAGGGAUAAUACGACAACCAUAUUCUAUAACGACCCUACAAUGAAACCGAUCAGAAAAGUACCAUCCUCAUAACAAGUCAAUACGAAGCUCCCACCGAGUUUUGUAUACACCAGAGGUGCAAGUAUUGGACAUAAAUUACACCUAGGUGUAAGGGAAGUCAUGAAAGAAAUAGAAGAUACGAUGCAAGAUUUUAAAGUAAGUAAGGUAAAUGUGAACACGUACAAGAUACUCAAGGGCAGAAGAUCGUGAAUAGUCCAUGCUUCGAAUAGAAGGCUAGAAGCACUAGGAUUCAAUAUCUAGGAAUGAUAACAUCGUUGUCAGUGGCGUACCAGGUCUAAUUAGAGAGUAAAAGAAGAGUUAGAGACGAUGUGAUGUCUCGAUAUUCCAGAAGUCAUAAGGGAAUCGAUCGCAAGCUAGAGUAUGAUAGAAUGACAAGGUUUUAGAAAAACAAGAGUAGGGAUAAGAAGAAGACAAGUGAGAAGGUGGCGCAAAUGGAUAAGUCUUUAGAACAAGCCUAUGAAAACAAAAGAGCUGAUGGUUUAUCUAAGUUAUACAAAGCUCAGUAUAGCCUGAAUCAACUUAAACGAGUCUAAGACUAAUAGCAUUUAGAAGAAAUGGAAUGUUGCCCUGAUUGUAGAAUAAGGAUACAAUUAUGAUGAAUAAGGGAUGACGUUUGGGCUUCCGAUUGAGUAAUGAGUUCAUGAAUUGUACAUUAUUAAAAUACCCAUGUAAGACAAAUCAUUGUGAUAACUAUGAUUUGAGAUAUGGUUAUGGAAGUACAGUAUCACCCUCAGGUGGAUCAGGAAAAUCAUUUCAAAUGUUCCAUGAUGCAACGUAAGCCUUAGUGGAAAUAUAUUACGUAAGAAAUUUCAAGUUAUCAAUGGAUGGUUGUAGAUCAAUAUUGAGGUGAAUAAAAAAUGGACAGAUACAAGUUACAAAGUAUGACAUGAGAUUACACUAUCUUUCUUCAGACGAACGGUAGUGAAGGAGCAUUAAAGGACUGAGAUUUAUACCUAAAGGAUAGGCAACAAAAGUAACUGGGAGUUUGGUAAGCAUACCUCAAUAACAAAAAAUUGAUGUAAAAAAAAUGGUAUAGUAUGACCCAUGUAGAUGCAAUAAAGCCAUACAAAUGGAUAACCAGAUCUAUGAAAUAGGAUAUGGCCAUAUUCGCAAGUUCUGCAAAGUAUCGAGUGAAGAACUUCAGUACACCUAUAGAUACCUAGAGAGACAUCCUAUUAAGCCUUGUAUAUGUUUACAAAGUAAGGCCUAGAGAUUGACUAAAAGAUAAAAGGAAAAAAGGAAAAAUGAAUCGCAUAAGCGCACUUACAAAGCCAGGGUCAUACAUGCUGCAUGACAGGAGGUAGCAACAAUUGCGAGAUUAGAAAGAUUUUGACCACCAGUCAUGAUAUGAGCAAAAUGACUAAAUGGGGGAAUAACCUAGACUUUGGAUUUAUUCACAGAGAAACUACUUAAAUAGCAAGGAGAGUAUUAAGGUAUUCACAAGAGCUAUAACUUAUGAAAACGAUAAGAGCAUCAAUCAACAUUCGAGGACGAAUGUUCCAAAGGGGGGAAUGAUGUUACACCCCGCAAUAAUAAGAUGAUGUUACGCCUUGCAGGAAUACAUUACAAUGAUGUUACGCUUCGUAGUAUUAAGUUACGACAAUAUUGUACCCUACAGUAUUAUACGUUGAAUUUGUUGUAAGGUAAUUGACAUCAGCCAAGUAAAAGAUUAUUCGGAGAUUAUAAGGAUUAUGCUAUUUCACAAGUGAUGAGUAAAUUCGUGAAAUUGGAAGGGGAAGCAAGUCAAAGAAAAUAAAUUUUCAAAGUUUGGCAUUUUAGGGUAAAAUACGGCCAAAGCUAAAAUACCUGUAUUUAUGGACUAGUGCCAUACAAGGUACUACAUGACCAUAAGGUAUAUAAGGUAUGUUAAAAGAGAGUAGUAUUUUAAGUAAUUUGAGAUAAUUUUUAAUUAUGCGGGUAAUUGGUUAAUUACCGGGGUAACAGAACAUUACUUAUUACCUAAUAAGUGGAUAAAGAUUCAUAAUUCUCACCCACCUCUCCAAAAACGUGGCAACUAGCCACAAUCAAGACAAAUGACUCUUUAGUCUUCGUGGACAGGUGGCAACUAGGUUAGUAAUAAAAAGAGACACAUCAUUUCUUAUGUUCCUUAUACAAAUCCUUACAAUCCAAAGAAAGUUAACUAUUUUCAAAAGCUUUCAACAAUCAGAUACUUUGGAACUUUACAAGUCAAAAUUAUUAGCAUUUUGCCAUCCAAAACAAAUGUUAGCAUUUCCUGGAAAAUGUUGGUUAUUGUCAAGCCUUCAAAGAUUAAUUUUAAAUUCUUGCAAAAAAAGACACCAACAAGAUGUUAGAAAGAAGACAUUAGCAACAAGAUUUCUUGCAAUCAAUUCUCCUACAAGAUUAUUAUACGGAUUUUUUCCUACUCCAGGUAUGUUAAGGUCAUCCCUUCUUUCUUUUGGCACGGUCCAAAUAAUACAAAUAAAAUGAGAAAAAUACGCAACUUUCAUAAAUGACCAUAUUCAUAAAAAUACUAGCGGUGUCUAUAUUCUUGAUUCCCCAUGUGAAUUAUUCUCUUCAUGGGUCUUACUAAAAUACGUAUUUGAUAAAGUUUAUCCGUAAGGCAUAUCGAUUUUUAUGCCAUUUCGAGAAAAUCUUAUUGACGUAUUUCUUAUGCAUUUCAUGCAUUUAUACAUGCACAUUAACCAAUGACCAAAUGGCGUUAUAUACGCGUAUAUAUGUAUAUUAUAUUUAUAUGGGAUAUGGGAAAAAUGCUAUGAUGUUAUCUACGCACCACCACCUGAUCAGUUGGUAUACGUUGAUGAUUUUGCCCAUAGUGGCCAAGAUGAUAUGAUGGGAUGCCCUCAGAGGUUGAUGAUGUUAUGAAACAUAUACCUAUGUACGACAUGACAUUCAUACACAUAUGCAUGAUACUAUAAUUAUUUCAUGAAUUACAAAGUUAUUCAGACUUACAGGUGAAGUCAUUUACUCUAUAUUUCCUCUAUGUCUAUUAUGUACUUAUUUAUGUGCCUUACAUAAUCGGUACAUUAUUCGUACCGACGUCCCUUUUUUUUCUGGGGGAUGCUACGUUUCAUGCCUGCGGGUCCCGAUAGAUAGGUCGAGAACCCUCCAAGUAGGUUGUCAGCUCAUCAGAAAAUGUUAGUGUGCUUCAUUUGCUUCGGAGUUGCUUGUUUGGUUAGUAUGAGUUAGAUGUGUAUUGUUUGGUAUGGCAGGACUUUGUCCCGACCUUUAUGAAAAUUAUGUAUCCUUAGAGGAUUGUAGACCGAUGUCAUGUACGUAAAAGAUCAUAUGGUCUUGUCAGCCUAUGUUCAGUGUUCAAGUGAUUAUUUUGGUCUUAGUCGCCCAUAUGUCUUAUGUAUAAGUUGGCAUUACCUGUUGUAUUCUACCUAUUUCAUGGCAGCCUAUCCGGCUCAGUUAUUUAUGAUAGUAUGGCAUGAAAAGAUACGUUGUAUUGGUACUCGGUUAAGUAAGGUACCGGGUGCCAGUCGCGGCCCAUCGGUUUGGGUCGUGACAACUUCAAUAAUCAAUAUUAGGUAUUAAAAGAUGGAUAAAGAUGUGGCAUUGCAUGGAAAACUGCGGACCAUACUUUAUUUGUGCAUUGGUAGAAGAGGAAAUGCAGACAUCAAAUAAUUGAUUGCGGUCGUAGAUUUUUACUGCGGACGGUAGAUGCUAAGAUAUCCUAAAUUCUAAAAUGAGUAUCCUCUGAACUUUUAUCGCAAUAAUGCGGAGCCAAUUUUGCGGCCACAUGAGAGUACUUGCAAAGAGGUCACUAAAAACAUGUUGACAAAAGUUCGGCCACACUUGAAAGAGUGCGGACCACACAAAUAUAUGCUCUCUAUCAUCCAGGUAACAGAGUGUGGAUCGUGGUUGGAAUUUUGUGGCCGCACUCGACCUCUCUCUGAACCGGCCCAUACAAUAAUAUAAAUAAAAUAGUGGGUCAUUAUUUUACCUUUUUCGGCAUUUUCACUCACUAACAGAGAUUUUACUGAAGAUCCAUUUGUACGCACAUUUGACCACACAUAUCCACUCCCGAUCAUUCCACUUGCACUAUCAUAAUCUGGUAUGCAUCACUUCGAUCUUGUUUAUUUUUCUUUUGAAUUUUUUUUAUUUUUAAAUUCUUGUUAGGCCAUCUAUGUUACAUCCCUUAUCUGUGUCCAUGUGAGGUAAAUUAAGAAUGGGUAUUUGCUAUCAUGCCUUUAACAUAUUACCUAGUUGGAUUGAACAAAAUUGCAUAACCUAGGUAUUAACUGAACUGUGUCUUUACUACUCUUGAUUGUGCGGAUCACAUUUGAAAUUUUGCGGUUUGCAAUUACUAGUUUGGUAGCCUGGCUGAUAGCCCAAAUUCUGCAGCCGUAAUUUAAAUUGUGCAUAGCGUAGUUAGAAUUUCAUGUCCAUAAGGAGAGGUCCGCAUUGUCCUUCAGAAAACUUAUUCUCUAGGACCUGAGUAAUUUUACUCAAGUGCGGACCACACAUAUAAUUGUAUGGACCGCAUUUGGAUUUCUACGAUCGCAGAAGCGUGUUUGCACUAUCCUUCAGAGACUUCUCUCUAAAGGUCUGAUACCUCAGCGCAGAAGUGCGGCCACACUUGGAUUUUUGGGGACGUCACUUUCAUUUUGCAGAUCGCACUUGGAAUUGUGCGGACCGUACUUCCACCCUGCCCUCUGCAUGUUUAAUAAAGAACUCUCCCCUAUUUUUAUGCUUUCUCCUAAUGCUAUUGUGGCUCAUAACUAUCUUGUACUUCAUGCCAAUGGCUUGUAUAACAACUAACAACUCUUUAUAUGUGUCAACAGACAAUGGUCUUUAUAUGUGCAAUUCCAAAUACUUAGAAUUGUCUUGAGAAAAUAUUUAUAGCUAAAUGCGAAAAUUAAACUAACCUAGAAAGUAAGUAAAAUGAUCAAUGGCUACAAGUAUGUAUACACGGGGAAUUACACUCAAGUAACGAUCCAAUGUAUUUCACGAUUUAAAACAUAUGAGCAAGUUUAUGUUAAUUAGCCUCGGAAAAUAAUUCUAUAUUAGCUUCUUUUGAAGACUAACAAGACUUCCUAAUUGAAUUGUCCCUAAGACAAUUAAGAGAUUAAAUACACCCGAAUAUGGCUACAAGUAGUUCAAUCCUAUCCCUAGGUAGAAUCUAUAAAAUGAGGGUCAAAGCCUCAAGUUCUAGUUAAUUAAUCUUUCCCAACCCCAAAUAAUCUUUCCCAAAAUUAAUUCGAAGUUAAUGGGUGAGUCCUAGGGUUAGCUAAUCCAUUUGGAAACAUUAAAGAACAAGAAUAAUUAAAGAAGCAAUAACUUACUUCAUAAAAGAUAAAAAUUGUUCAAUACAUAAGCACACCAAGAUAUUUAAUCCACACUUUAAACAUGAAUAUUUCCAUAAACAAGUUCAAGUGUUGGAAUAAAUACUACACACUUAGAUAAACAAUACAAAGCAAGAAAAUAUAGAAAUGAGCAUAAAUGAGUAAGAAAUUCUCAACCAAAAGCUUCAAAUCUUCAAGACCAAAAUGUGUGUGCAAGAAACUCCAAACUUGUGUUCUUCUCUCAAAAUUGGUCAAAGACUGCCCAAAGAUGUCCAAAUAUUCUACUAGGUCGUGUAUUUGUGGGUUUGGAAUUGACAAAAUAUGAAAUGUUAUUCUUGCCCAGGUCUGAAGCCCGUUGACUGCACCCGCGGAAGAAACCUCAUGGGUGCGGCUCCACAGAUGCGGAUUGAUGUGAAAAUUGAAGGGAACUUAUUGCUCCGCAGAUGCUGACUCUCAAGCGCAGAUACGCAACCAUAGAAGCGGUUCUUGUCUCGUAGAUGCGAUCCCAAAUAAUGUAGCUCAAUUCCACAUAUGCGGACCAUUUCCUCGCAGAUGCGAGGUCGCUUCUGCGACCAGUCUUCUGCAGAUGCGGAAUCACUGAAGAGUUUUGCAUUGUUUCAACCCUUUUUUGCUCAAUUCCACUUCAAUUUAAGUCAACUCUCUUUAUGGAAUCAUUUACUUGAAAAUCUAGGAAUACAUACCAUAAACACCCUCAUAUUAUAAUUAAAGGAUAUAAAAACUAAAGAAAAGAGACUAGAAUGAGUGGUAAAAUCAUCACUCAUCAACACCCUCCAACUUAAGGCUUUUGGUUGUCCUCAAGAAAUCAAAACCAACAAUUCAAUGAGGGUUCUACCAUUUAAAGCAUAACUAGUAUUGCUAUCAUUUACAAAUUACAUUUUCCAGUUAAGCUCCAUACUUAUGUGUCACGACCCAAACUGAUGGGCCGCGACGGGUGCCCGAGUCCUACCUGCCAAACACUCCGAAGCAUGUGCCUAAAAUAUAAACUUAAAUAACAUCUGCUGAAUUACGAGAAUAAAGUACAUGAAGGAAAUCUGCCCAAAAGGCAUACAUACGUAUACGUGCAACAUACGUAGGGCGAGUCGAAAAGGCUGCUAUAGACAACUCUACAUCUCAAAACUGGAAGCUGGCAAAGGCACAUACUAUCUAACUAGACAUGCUGUCUACAAACCUCUAAUAGAAAUAUAACUGCGCGAAGACGGGGCUAAGCCACGUCAUACCUAUAUAUGUAUAUAUCGUACCAAAAUCAAAAGAAGCUUCGGAUCAAGUGGAGCACACCAACUCUCGCUGAUCAAGGAUCCUAAGAAGGGAGACCAUUAGCUUGCCUACAUGCACCUGCGGGCAUAAAACGUUGGCCCCGUGAAAUAGGGCGUCAGUAUGAAAUAUGUACUGAGUAUGUAAGGCAUGAGACUUAGAACGUAAAAGACGUAUAUGAAACAUGGAAUAUAGAAACACAUCUUUAAAUCUGAAUAACUUUGUAAAUUCUAAAACAUUUAUAAUGUCAUGCACAUGCACAUAAAUAUCAUGCCAUGCAUACGUAUGGGUGUAUAUUAUAUCAUCAAGCCACUGAGGGCAUCCCAUCAUAUCGUCUCGGCCACUGUAGGCAACAUCAACAACAUAUACCAGUUGAUCAGAUGGUGGUGCGUAUAUAACGCCGUAACCUUUUCCCAUAUCCCAUAUACAUAUAUUUACAUAUAUACGCGUAUAUAACACCAUCUGGUCAUAUGUCAAUGCACAUGUAUAAAUUGGUGAAAUGCAUGAAAAAUACGUAAAAAUCUCAAUAAUCCUUCCGGGAUAAACUUUUUCAACUGCGUAUUAUUCUGAGACCCAUGAACAGAAGAUGAUAAUCAUUCACAUGGGGAAUCAAGAAUAUAGACACCCCUAGUAUUUCUAUGAAUAGAGUAAUUUGUGAAAACUAUGCAUUUGCUCGUUUCUUCAGUAUAAUUUGGACCAUGCCAAAAAAAGAAGGGAUGACCUUAACAUACUUGGAAUAAGGAACUCCGUAUAAUAUUAUUUGUAGGAGAACUUGGAAGCAAGAAAUCUCGUUGUUUGAGCUGUUACUGUUUGUAACGUUCGGAUUGAUUUUGUUUUCAAAAUAGGAAAAGGAAGCUUUAUUAAAGCUUUGAAAUGGCUACGUUUUGGAUUGCAGAUCUGUUAAAGCUUUGAAUUGUUAAAGCUUUGUAACCACUUUGUUAAAGCUUUGAAAUCUUAAAGCUUUAAUAAAGGUUUGUAACGUUUUUAAUGUUAUAAUGAUAAGACUAUAAAAUGUCUCUUUCUUGCCACUUAAACCUUAACGUGACACAUGUAAUAAAUGGAUAAUGAGUCACCUUAAAUUAAAAGGGAGCUGCCACAUUUCUUUUGGGGUGUAAUUUUGUUAAUUUUUAUCCAGUUAAUAAUUAACUAGGUAAUAUUUCGUUACCCGAUAAUUAAUCAAUUACCCGCGUAAUUUAAAAAUUACCAUAAAUUACUUAAAAUUCUACUUAUUUUUAAUUUACUUCAUAUAUACUUUAUACAUUAUACUACCGUGGUCAUAUGGUAUCUUGCAUGGUACUAGUUCAUAGUUAUCGGGUAUUAUUGCUCGACCCGUAUUUUAUCCCAAAUUCGCCACUUUUAACGAAACUCUCUUUCUUUAAUUCGUGUACCCCUUUAUCCUUCAUAACGCUUAGUUAUCUCUUGUUAUAAAUAGCGUAAAUACGUUAACGUUAAGAUGAUCUCAUCCCCGAGUCUACGUUAAUUAACUGAAGAUGAAACUUUUGACGUACGAAAAUGUGAGAUGUAACAUCCUUCCCCCCUUAGAAACGUUUUCCCUUGAAUGUUUAACUCUCCGGGAUCUAUAUAACCUUGGCAGAGUCGCCUUUGUAACAACGCUACUACCAACUUUUCCUAUAGAAACCCAAUCAUCAAUAAUUGGACUUCGAAUGUUUAACUUCCCCGGAUGAUAUAAAAUAUCAACGUCAUAGUCUUUAAGUAGCUCCAACCAUCUCCUUUGACGUAGUCAAUAUGGACUUCAUCGUAGUCUUACCUCAUACCCAGCGUAAGUUCAAUUCGAUAUGGGUGAUUAUUGAUAGGCUUAAAAAGUCAGCCCAUUUUCUGCCCGUUAGGACUAUAUAUUCCUCAAAGGAUUAUGCAAGGCUUUAUAUUAAGGAAAUAGUAUGAUUGCAUGGUGUCCCUGUAUAUAUAUCUCGGAUAGAGGAGCUCAAUUUACAGCUAACUUCUGGAGGUCCUCCCAAAACGGAUUGGGGACUCAAGUAAGUCUUUGUACAGUAUUUCAUCCCCAUACAAACGGAUAGGCUGAGCGUACUAUUCAAACACUGAAGGAUAUGUUACGAGCUUGUGUAAUAGACUUCAAAGGUAGCUGGGAUGAUUAUAUGUCGCUUAUUGAGUUCGCAUAUAAUAUUAGCUACCAUUCCAGCAUUCAGAUGGCUCCAUACGAAGAUCUUUAUGGACAGAAGUGUAGGUCGCCUAUAGGGUGGUUCGAUAUUGAAGAAUCUGAAUUACAUGGGCCAGACCUGGUUCAGCAGGCUAUAGAAAAAGUAAAAUUAAUUCGGGACCGACUGUUGACAGCUCAGAGUCGUCAAAAGUCAUAUUCUGACGUGCAGCGACGAGAUUUAGAGCUUGGGGUGAUGACUGGGUAUUCUUAAAGGUGUAACCUAUGAAUGUGAUGAGAUUUGGCAAGAAAGGCAAACUUAGCCCACGGUAUAUUGGGCCUUAUAGGAUCAUUUGGAGAGUGGGCCAAGUAGCUUGUGAGUUAGAAUUGCCCUCGGAAUUGGAGUCUGUCCAUCUGGUUUUUCACGUAUCCUACCCGAGUGGUGCCCACAGAUGAUGUACAGAUUACAGAGGACUUGUCAUACGAGGAAAUUCCGGUUGCCAUCCUAGACCAACAAAUCUGCAAGCUGCGGAGUAAGGAGGUAGCCUCUGUGAAAGUACUUUGGAGGAACAACAAUGUGGAAGAAAUGACUUGGGAGGCCAAGGAAGACAUGAAGUCUAGAUUAUUGGGUUUCUAUAGGAACCCAAUCAUCGUCAUUAAAUUAUUGGGUUUCUAUAGGAAAAGUUGGUAGUAGCGUUGUUACAAAGGCGACUCUGCCAAGGUUAUAUAGAUCUCGGAGAGUUAAACAUUCGAGGGCAAAUGUUUCUAAGGGGGGAAGGAUGUUACAUCUCACAUCUGCACCCCAAACUCUAAAUCUUCCUUGGCCUCCCAAGUCAUUUCUUCCACAUUGUUGUUCCUCCAAAGUACUUUCACAGAGGCUACCUCCUUAUUCCGCAGCUUGCAAAUUUGUUGGUCUAGGAUGGCAACCGGAAUUUCCUCGUAUGACAAGUCCUCUGUAAUCUGUACAUCAUCUGUGGGCACCACUCGGGUAGGAUACGUGAAAAACCAGAUGGACAGACUCCAAUUCCGAGGGCAAUUCUAACUCACAAUCUACUUGGCCCACUCUCCAAAUGAUCCUAUAAGGCCUAAUAUACCGUGGGCUAAGUUUGCCUUUCUUGCCAAAUCUCAUCUCAUUCAUAGGUGACACCUUUAAGAAUACCCAGUCAUCACCCCAAAUUCUAAAUCUCGUCUCUGCACGUCAGAAUAUGACUUUUGACAACUCUGAGCUGUCAACAGUCGGUCCCGAAUCAAUUUUACUUUUUCUAUGGCCUGCUGAACCAGGUCUGGCCCAUGUAAUUCAGAUUCUCCAACAUCGAACCACCCUAUAGGCGACCUACACUUCUGUCCGUAAAGAUCUUCGUAUGGAGCCAUCUGAAUGCUGGAAUGGUAGCUAAUAUUAUAUGCAAACUCAAUAAGCGACAUAUAAUCAUCCCAGCUACCUUUGAAGUCUAUUACACAAGCUCGUAACAUAUCCUCCAGUGUUUGAAUAGUACGCUCAGCCUGUCCGUUUGUAUGGGGAUGAAAUACUGUACUAAGACUUACUUGAGUCCCCAAUCCGUUUUGGGAGGACCUCCAGAAGUUAGCUGUAAAUUGAGCUCCUCUAUCCGAGAUAUAUAUACAGGGACACCAUGCAAUCAUACUAUUUCCUUAAUAUAAAGCCUUGCAUAAUCCUUUGAGGAAUAUAUAGUCCUAACGGGCAGAAAAUGGGCUGACUUUGUAAGCUUAUCAAUAAUCACCCAUAUCGAAUUGAACUUACGCUGGGUACGAGGUAAGACUACGAUGAAAUCCAUAUUGAUUACUUCCCAUUUCCAAGUCGGAAUCUCCAUAGCCUGCAAUAAGCCACCGGGUUUUUGAUGCUCAAUCUUAACCUGCUGACAGUUAGGACAUUGAGCAACAACUUCUACUAUAUCCUUUUUCAUUCCAUCCCACCAAUACACUUCCCUGAUAUNNNNNNNNNNNNNNNNNNNNNNNNNNNNNNNNNNNNNNNNNNNNNNNNNNNNNNNNNNNNNNNNNNNNNNNNNNNNNNNNNNNNNNNNNNNNNNNNNNNNNNNNNNNNNNNNNNNNNNNNNNNNNNNNNNNNNNNNNNNNNNNNNNNNNNNNNNNNNNNNNNNNNNNNNNNNNNNNNNNNNNNNNNNNNNNNNNNNNNNNNNNNNNNNNNNNNNNNNNNNNNNNNNNNNNNNNNNNNNNNNNNNNNNNNNNNNNNNNNNNNNNNNNNNNNNNNNNNNNNNNNNNNNNNNNNNNNNNNNNNNNNNNNNNNNNNNNNNNNNNNNNNNNNNNNNNNNNNNNNNNNNNNNNNNNNNNNNNNNNNNNNNNNCUGUACUUUAAUGCCUAGAAACUCCGUUCGCAAGCAUCAGUCCAUUAAAACUUUGCUCCCUUCUGAGUCAACUUUGUCAAAGGUGUUGAAAGGGAAGAAAAUUUCUCUACAAAUCUCAUGUAAUAACCUGCCAAACCAAGAAAGCUAUGAACCUUCAUCGGUGUUGUGGGUCUAGGCCAAGUCUUUACUGCCUCAAUCUUUUGUGUAUCUGCCCAGAUUCCUUCACCCGAAAUGAUAUGCCCAAGGAAAGCUACAAAGUUCAACCAAAAUUCACAUUUAGAGAAUUUUGCAUACAACUUCCCUUUUUGUACAACUCUGAGCACAAUAUGCAGAUGAUCUGCAUGCUCAGCCUUUAAACGAUAACACACCAAUAUAUUAUCGAUAAAAACAAUUAAGAAUAGAUCUAAGAAGGGCCUGAACACACAGUUCAUCAAAUCCAUGAAUACUGUUGGGUCAUUGGUCAAACCGAACGACAUAACACGAAACUUGAAGUACCCGUAUUUGGUCCUGAAUGUUGUCUUUGGAAUAUCUUCAUCCUUAACCCUUACCUAAUGGUACCCGGACCUCCAGUCUAUCUUUGAAAAACACUUGGCACCUUUCAACUGAUCAAAUAAAUUGUCAAUCCUCAGAGGUGGGUACUAUUACACCUCCUUUUUACCCGCCCGAGGCAAAUAUAAGGGAGUUUUUCCAAUUAAAGCGACAUUAAUUGAAAUGGAAUUAUUUUAUUAAUUUUUCAGAGUUGCCACUUGGGAUAAUUAUUUUGGUGUCCCAAGUCACCGAUUUAUUUUAAAUCCCAAAUCGAGGAAAAUUUGACUUUACAUAAAAGUCUGCUUAACCAGAAAUUCUAAGUAAGAAAUUCUGUUAACCCGGAAGAAGGUGUUAGGCAUUCCCGGAUUUCGUGGUUCGAGCACGGUCGCUUAAACUAUUAAAACUGGCCUAAUUAUCUGAUUUGUUACAUGUUUUAAACCUAUUGUGCAUUUUUAACUUUAUAACCACUUUUAUUCAUUUAACUGCUUUUUAGGAUUUAUGGAAUUAUUUUUUGAACAAGUUACGAUUGUCGUACAUUUGUCGUGUUGGAACACGCCGCAAACCACGCUACGUGAAAUGCGACCGCGAUUCGCGAUAUGUUUAUUUUAUUAUUAUUCGAAGUUGUUAUGAUCGGGUCACAUGAAAUGCACACUCCAAUUGGGGAUUAUGUAUCGUGACCAUGCCACAUGAACCGUAUCCAUGGUCACGAUGAUUUAUUUAUCGCGCCUAAAGCAAACUACGGUGUUCAUAAGUUGUAUCUGCUGCUCUAAAUUCAUAUGACAUUAUAUUACCUAAAGUACUUUACCUCACUUUUAUUGCACAUAUUGAACUUCCAUAUGAUUGCAUUAAGUAUGAAUUUUACUUCAAUUAUGCAUUCUAGAAAUAUGGAAAUGUGAACCAUAAGAUGCCACAAAUCUGAAUAUGGAAAUUCCUUAUUCAAGCAAAUACACAUGCCAACAAAUUCAUGGUGAAAUGAAGGUACGACCACCGGAAAAUCUACCAGAACGACAUGGAGAAAAAAAUGUAACGAUCUCAAAAAUGCAAUUCAAAUGCAUUAAACCUACAUGUGUGAGUGUUGGGGACUGACAUCAAAAGGUAAAAGAAUAAAGAGUAUUCAUGUUUAGUGUUGUCCAAUUCUAGUGAAUCAAAUCAUGAUAGAAUCUGCAACUGGAAUAGCUUCACAUUAAAUGCCAAAUGUUCUAGCUCAACUACACAAUACUCACAUAUAUGAUUGAUAUUGAGAGGUCAAGAAGAGACACAUCGGCCAUCUAUCAUAUUGAAUGAUCAUUCUUUUUAUUAACAUAAACAAAAUAAGUAAAUAGAAAACACUUAUAAAUGGUAGACUAGGUCUUAACUUCUUAACCAUGAAUCAGUAUAAAGAUCAAAAAUAUUUAACCAAAAUAAAAGUGAACAAGCUUUAAAGUUUCGUUCCCAGGUGAGUUAAAGGAGAUCUCAAGAUUUUACAUAUCAAAUCUCUUCAUAAUUCAGACAUUCAUCACAAUAAAAAACUAAAUCCUAACAACCCAGAACUGAUUCAUCUAAAGAACCUGACAAACACAUAUGAAAUCAACAAACAAAUAAGGGAAUAGGCUAACAACAUCCAGCCAUGAAACAUUCACACGAAUCAAAUGACGUAUAUUUAAGAAAACUUUAUAGUAUAAGAAUAUCUAAACAGUAAAUACAUUCUAAAAUAAGGAUAGGUACCUCAACAACUAGAAAUAAACUUAGAGGAGCCAAAUAAAAGGCUGAAAGACAGAAAAUUGGAGCUCAACAACAGCAGAGUCAACAAAAUGCAGCUUCACUUUCUGAAAUCGAAAUCGAACUCGAACACCCAAAAAUCCAAAUUUCAGCGACAAUCAAUCCAAACAUCAGCUUGAGCGACAAUUUCAAAUGUCAGCAGCUAAAACCUUUAUUUCUUUAUGAGAUCUAAUGGUGGUCACCAUAGUUCCUUACUAGUGAAAGGGGGCGUAUUAUGGAAAUUAAAGGUAUUUCAAUAUGGAGUAGAGGACGAAAAUCAGUGGCCUGAUGUUUUUCCAUGGUUAUCGGCGAAAAUAUUUGUUCUCUUUGGCUGAUGCUCUUCAGCUCCUUGAGAUCCGCCAUCCUGUCUUGUAGAGGAAAGAUCCUUUUAUCUGAUGUGUUAGGUCUCCUUUUAUGUGAGGGAUUGAGGUAUAAAAAUGGGAAAGGGGUAAUGAGUCAAUGUGUAUUGGUAUUGGAAUUGGGCUGGAGUUUAAAAUUAGUUUGGGCCAUUUUAG